rnacentral:rRNA from 1 species
CAUGACCCCAGAUCAGACG